rnacentral:rRNA from 1 species
UACAGAGACUGCAAGCGUUGUUCGGAUUCAUUGGGCGUAAAGGGUGCGCAGGCGGUUUGUUAAGUCGGAUGUGAAAUCUCACAGCCUAACUGUGAUAGGUCAUUCGAAACUGGCAGACUUGAGGAUUGGAGAGGAGACUGGAAUACUUGGUGUAGCAGUGAAAUGCGUAGAUAUCAAGUGGAACACCAGUGGCGAAGGCGAGUCUCUGGACAUUUCCUGACGCUGAGGCACGAAAGCCAGGGGAGCAAACGGG